CAUCAACCCCUGUCACCCCUAAGGCAGAAUCAAGAUGGUACAACGGAACGGGUAAGUACCGGCUCGUAAAACGCUAAGCGGGGGUUUGCGAGCAUUUGGAACACAGAGGGAAGGCUUUUUAACACGCAGGGCUGCACGUCCGCCGCCGGAGAUCCCUUACCUCUGCGACUGGCACAGCACACAGGGCGGCUCCCAGCCCUGCGCCCACCGCGCGGCGCCACCGCCCGCUCCCACCAGGAAGGCCGCGUCUGCCGGUGCCGGCCAGAGCGGGGAGGCCGUGCCUGGGCAUGCGAGAAACAGUGAGCACAGAAACACCAGAGCAGGGAUCAUCUGCUGCAGCUGGGGAAGGGGACCGUGAACCGGCGAUGUUCUGGAAUAACAGCGAGUGGCCGUACUGGUUAUUAUCGUGACGGUGAGGUAUAAAGGCGAGAAACAACAGCUGGGCGCGGGGGGCACCGCCGCCCCAACCCGGCCGCCCGUAACCGCGGUACCUCAGGAGAGAGCACCAACCCCGCAGCCAGAAGGACCGCGCCGCCAUCUUGGGAGUGGGCGAGUUGGUGCAGGAGGAAGGAGGUGCCAUCCUGUGUGCUGAGCAGAUGUGUGGGACGAGCUGUGCAGUGGAGCCAGGUGCUUCUGGCCAGCCAAGGACUGCAGGAGCGGGGAAGGAGUUGUCAUUUGAGCACCAAGAAAUACGUCGUCCAGCCAGCAAGCAGCAGUGCUCCCACCAGCACGGUGUAGCUGAACAGCACAAACGCCAGCAGCUCCCGCAGAACCUUGAGGAAGUGGAUUGCAAAGGAGUCCGGCAUCGUUCCCCACAGUACUGCAGUGCAGAGCAGCCUGAGCAGUGCUAGUCAUUGCCGUGUGAUUAAUUUUUGACCAAAA
rnacentral:lncRNA from 1 species